GCUGGCCCCGUGGGAGAGACCGGUCUUGUGACCGGCGCCGAAGGCGCAACACCGCCCGGAAUCGCUCAGGCAAAAGGACCGUGGGGCCAAU
rnacentral:ncRNA from 2 species